rnacentral:tRNA from 1 species
GGGCGCGGUAGUAUAGCGGUUAAUGCAUUCCCGAGUUCGAGCGAAGACCCAGGUUCGACUCCUGGCCCGCCCA